rnacentral:rRNA from 1 species
UACGUAGGGGGCGAGCGUUGUCCGGAUUUAUUGGGCGUAAAGAGCUCGUAGGCGGCUUGGCAAGUCGGGUGUGAAACCUCCAGCUCAACCUGGAGACGCCACUCGAUAUUGCCAUGGCUAGAGUCCGGUAGGGGACCACGGAAUUCCUGGUGUAGCGGUGAAAUGCGCAGAUAUCAGGAGGAACACCGGUGGCGAAGGCGGUGGUCUGGGCCGGCACUGACGCUGAGGAGCGAAAGCGUGGGUAGCAAACAGG